CCAACUGUCCACAGGCUGCGACAGGCUCACUGCCCUUUGUGAUCACUGCGUUGUUCACAUUGAGUCGAUCCAAUAUGCGGAGCAGCCAGACACUGUAGGUGGCGGAAUGGUUUUUGUUUGUUUUUUUCUGUCCAACAGUUUGUUCUUUUGGACCCAGCUAAAAAGCCAGUUAGUUUAGUUUAGACAGGGGUAGCAGCUUAGCAACUAAAGCAGUGGAUUCCUGCCUGUAGUCAAGCAUUCUAAUUGGCCUUAGUGUCUGAAGGGUAAAUAAGCUUGCAUUGAAACAUAUUUUUUCAAACAACGUAGACAGAGCUACAAGGUUUCAAAUCGACAGGACUGAACCACCAACUUUCCAGUAGCAAGACAACUUGCUCCCUCUCCUGAAUUACUACAGCCAGCCUGAUGUUGUCAGCACGACUACUAUCUAAAAACCCCAUCAAAGUCCAACACCAAAUCUUCCACUAACUGAAGUGCCAUGGGAAGACAUCGUCUGAAUAUUUGCUGAAUCAUGAUGAGCAAGAGGAAAUUGCCUCUGUAAAUACAGGAAAGAGUAACAUUAAAUGUAUAUAAAC